rnacentral:rRNA from 1 species
GACGAACGCUGGCGGCGUGCUUAACACAUGCAAGUCGGACGGAAAGGCCCUGCUUUUGUGGGGUGCUCGAGUGGCGAACGGGUGAGUAACACGUGAGUAACCUGCCCUUGACUUUGGGAUAACUUCAGGAAACUGGGGCUAAUACCGGAUAGGAGCUCCUGCUGCAUGGUGGGGGUUGGAAAGUUUCGGCGGUUGGGGAUGGACUCGCGGCUUAUCAGCUUGUUGGUGGGGUAGUGGCUUACCAAGGCUUUGACGGGUAGCCGGCCUGAGAGGGUGACCGGCCACAUUGGGACUGAGAUACGGCGCAGACUCCUACGGGAGGCAGCAGUGGGGAAUAUUGCACAAUGGGCGGAAGCCUGAUGCAGCAACGCCGCGUGCGGGAUGACGGCCUUCGGGUUGUAAACCGCUUUCGCCUGUGACGAAGCGUGAGUGACGGUAAUGGGUAAAGAAGCACCGGCUAACUACGUG